GCUGGUGGAGGGUGGAGCUCAAGCAUCCUUGGUUGCGGCAAGGUGAGUCUCGUAGGCCAGCUGCGCCGCCAAGAGAUCCACCACGGCGGUGCCAACGGACUUAAACACGGUGAUCUCGUCGUCUCUCCGUGGGCCCACCACAGUCCCGGCGGCCAGCUCCGACAGCGUCCCGGCCACGUCCUCCCUCCGAAGCACGCCUCGCUGGACCGCACCCACCAAUUCCCCGGCCUCCUCCAUCGCCGCCUCAAAGUCGAUGAACACCCGCCCGCGGCGCAGCGCGUCGUCGUCGCACUCCCGCAUCGCCGGCGUGAACGACCCCACCAGGUCCAGGUGCGCGCCGGGGCGCAGCAGCUCCCCGCGCACGAUGGGCUCCCGCGACCCCGUGGCGCAGCUAACGACGUCCGCCGCGGCGACGGCCUCGUCCAUGCUGCCCACCUCCUCGACGGUGAGGCCCGGGUGCGAUUCGCGGAGCUUGGCGACGAGCGCCGCGGACUUGGCCCUGGUGCGGUUCCAGACGAGGACCCGGGAGACGGAGGGGAGCGCCGCGAGGUGCGCCUCCGCGAGGUAGGGCGCGAGCGCGCCGGCCCCCGCGAGCGCGAGGACCGAGGGCGGGCGGGACGGGGAGGCGAGGAGCGAGGCGGCGAGUGCCGAGACGGCGGCCGUGCGGAGCAGCGUGAGCGCGGAGCCGUCGAUGGACGCGAGCGGCGCGCCCGUGGCGGCGCUGAAGAGGGAGACGGCGGCGUGGACGGACGGGAGGCGCGGCGAGUUGGACGGGAACGAGGUGACGGCCUUAAGCGCGAGGUAGGGCAGCGACGGGUGCGCGCACCAGGAGGGCAUGAGGAGGAGCGCGGCGGACGGCGCCGUGGGGAGCGGGAUGGAGACGCGCUGCGGGCACUGGAUGCCGGCGGAGAGCUCCGGAUGGGCGAGGCCCGCGCGGAGGUGUGGGAUCAGCGACGCGAAGGGGAGCAGCGAGUGGAGAGCCGCCGCGUCGAUGUAGACGAACGGGUGCGACGGCGCGGCCGCCAUGCCAGCUCUGCUCCGCUCUCCGUCUGUGCUGUGGCCUGUAGAUGUGGAUCGUCGGUUCGCGGAUGCGGUUUGGUUGGGGGGAUCGUAUCCAGUGCACAAGGGUCACGCCGUGCAUAAAUGCACAAAACGAAAUCUGAUGGGGGCUUGGGGGCCUAGUAGGGCAGGAAGAUUCGGCAGUAGCGUUGACGAGGUUGACUCGGCAGUCUACUGAUACAGUUGGCUCUCCG
rnacentral:misc_RNA from 1 species